rnacentral:lncRNA from 1 species
CUGCAUUAGAACCACAGAAUCAACCCCAACAGCCCCCACAACCUCAUCUGCAGCUGCAUCCCCAAGCACAGCAGCCUCCACAACCUCAACCGCAACUGCAUUAUCCUCAAUCACAGCAGCCCCUGCAACCGUUUACUCAGGCUCCACCACAGCAACCCCUGCAUCCUCAACUGCAACAGUAUACUCAGGCUCCACCACAGCAACCCCUACAACCUCCACUGCAGCUGUAUCCUCAGGCUCAACCUGAGCAACCGCUGCAGCCUCAAUCCUCAGGAUCAACCACAGGAACCUGUGUAAUCUCAGCUGCAGCUCCAUCUGCAACCGGCACCACUGCUGCUGCAACCUCCGCCCCAGCAAUCCCCGCAAUCUCAACUGCAGCUCCAUCAGCAACCCCAGCCGACGCUAGUGCCGCCGCCGCAACCUCAACCCCAGCCACCUGAACUGCAGCAGCCCCAGCCGCUAACACAACUGCAAGCGGAACAUGGCCUGGACUGGGACAGUUAGUGGUUCGGAACAUGUAGCGUCACUAUAAGUUAAGACUCUGCCUCCUUUAAAAUUGUGCGUUAGGUUUGCCUGCAUCUUGUACAAUGUAAAUCGUGUGUGAUUUCAGCCACCGUGUCUAAUAAUCUGAAGCUCUCUAGUAAGCGAUGUACUUACUGCGCUGGGUACUGUGUUUAUGACUGCUGUAGUCUCAUGGUAUUGUGUGUGACGUGUCAGAAGCUACUCCAUUACCAGUGUAAUCAAUUGCCUAACUUAAUGUUCACCCGUGAUGAUAGUAAUUGAUUUCAGUGUGCUACUGUUGGUUGAACCAUUGGUUGCAAGAUGCCAUCACAAAUACUGAAGUUUAUUACUUAUACAUGCUCAAUGUUCGAUUUUCUACUGGGUACUGUUCAUUUUGGCUUGUGCAGUCACUAGUUUUACACAUUUCGGCAUUCUCGCAUAAAUUGUUUGCAACUGAUCCACCUUUUUUUUAGAAUAAACUGAUCCACCAUCUUCUACUGUAUCACUUGGGAGAUGGCUGUUGGUUCAGUGGUUAGCACCAGUGUUUCAGUUCAUGGAUGCCUGAUGCCAAGUGAAUUGCUUUCCUUUGGGCUACAAAUCUUUGUUGGAUUUUGAAUUAAGGAGCAACCAUUCCAACUCCAAAAAAACAAACAACCUGUGGAUAUGGUACCAAAAAUGUCACGGGAGCAGCGGCCCAACCGAAUGUAAUAUCAGACGUCCAAAAUUGUGACAGAGAAGUGGCCCAACAGGUUUAGUGAUUGUUCGUAGCGAUCAAAGCGAGCGGGCGUUGGAUUAAGAUAACUAAUCUGAGGGUCAGAAAUGCCUAAAAAUGAUGAUCGAACAGCUGCAAAUGCUAUUAAUGGUUCAAGAGGGCAGGAAAGCUGCACAAUUUUAAUGUCUCCUCCAAACCAGACCCCAAAACCUACCCACCCGCCGCCAUCUCGGCCUACCUCCUCUCUUCCGUCCUCCAGCUAAAGGAGUGGUGUCCUCCUUCUAAUUUUUUUUUGAAGAAACAUGGUACAAACGUAGAUACUCACAUACACGUAUGCACACUCGCCCUAUGAGCACCCCCGAGAGAUUGAGCCGACAAAUCUUAAGAUUGAUGAAGUCCCCAUAGAUGCCUCGUAGUUGAUGGACACGCCAUACCGCCGGAAAAAUAGCGCCCAAGAACCUAAUAUAAAUUCAGGAAAUAUGCGAGCACCCAUUCUAAGUAUGACAUUUAAACCUGGGUGGGUUGAUUCCACCACAAGGAACCUAACCAUCUAUUAGUUCACUCUUUGAUGCUUUUUUGUCAUGUUUUUUCGUUGGUUUUUGUUUCACAAGCUGCAUCUGCGAGGUGGCGGUAGCAAUGACGCAUUGGAAUAAGGUUUCUUUGGUCUCUCUGUACCUUGAUGGGCCAAAUUUGAUGUUAACGAACGGUCUGCGAAGGUAUGUGUCAUCAGAUUGUUGGUUCUUUUCGGAUCUUGACAGUUAGUGUGUAUAUAAGGGAAGCAAACUGGUUAUUGGUGCAUCGACUUCGACAUCUUCAUUCCUUUUGUUCUGCGGCAAUGUCCACUAACUACAACCCUCGAGAUUGGCAUUGCAAACUUAGGCUGCGUGGGGUGCUGCCCCAACUGAUGUUUCUUUAAUGACUAUUAGAUCUUGUUAUUCGUGGCAAAUCGCUAUUGCGGUCCUCAAAGCCUUGUAGGGCGAUGGUGUUUGCAGGUGUCUCUAGUCCUUACUGCCUGAUCAACGUAUUUUUCAAGCUCCAAUGGAUGAUGAGCAAGUGAAGAAAGAAGAAGACUAAUAUGUUUUUCCAUGUAAUUUUACUUUUCAAAUGUCAUUUUGUGUCUUGUUCUUCGAUUGUCCUGUGUUUUUCUUGAUAAAUAUAUUGCUCUUUUCGUUUCAAAAUAAGUGUCGUUGAUUUAAUACAAUUUUAUACUCCAUCCGUUUCUUUUUACCCUGCGUAUAAAAUUUGGUCAAAGUCAAACUACACAAAGUUUGACCAAAUUUAUAUCAAAAAAUAUGAACAUCUGCAAUAUUAAAACUAUAUAAUAUGAAAAUACAUGUCAUGGUGCAUCUGAUAAUAUUGAUUUCAUAUUGUAAAUGUUGAUAUUUUCUAAUAUAAAAUUAGUCAAAGUUUACAAAGCUUGACUUUGACCGAACUUUAUAUGCAAAUUAAAAAAAACAGAGGGAGUACUAAAUCAGCUACACUUAUUUUGAAACUGAGGAAAUAGUAUAAAUAUAAAUCAGAUGCCAAUGUCUUUUCUUAAAAAAAAAUCCCAAACCCUACCCACCCGCCGCCGCCGCCGUCAAUGGCGAAGCGCCCGCGCCGGUCCUACUCCCUGGAGUCCCGCGUACGCCGAAUCAUCCUAUCAGAUGCCGGCCUCGCCAUCCCCGGCUCCUCCGCCGACGACGUCGCCCGCGCCAUUCGCUCCCGCCACCGCGAGUACCAACGCUACAAGCUUGAGUUAUUCGCCUCCGUCGUCCGCCGUGCCAUCUCCUCCCUACCUCCUCCCGGCGAUUCCUGCUCCGACGACAGCGCCCCCGGCUCCUCCCGCCGCCGCAGCAGCCAUGACGCCACAUCGUCCUCCACCACCACCCAUUCGCAAGCGCCGCCUUCCCCCGCAUAUGACGUCACGAAAUCGCUGCUGCGCUCCUGCUACUCCUCCCAAACAUCCAAACGAGACCCCGACGCUGACCAGCAGCUCGAGAUGGAGCUCGCCGUGGAGAAGGCUCUCAUGCGGCCUGAUGCUCAAGGAGGCCACGGUGGGCAAAAAAGGGUAAUGUUUGCUGACCUCGGGGGCAUGGAGUCGGUGAUAGAGCUGCUGAUGCUGGAGGUGGUGGUCCCGCUGUGCCAUCCGGAGCUGCCGCUGCACCUUGGAGUGCGGCCCGUGUCCGGGAUUCUGCUGCACGGACCGCCAGGCUGUGGGAAGACCACGCUUGCCCAAGCAAUUGCCGACGAGACCGGCGUGCCGUUCUACCCAACCUCGGCGACCGAAUUAGUGUCUGGUGUCUCCGGUAUGCGUCGGUUCUUAAUCUGCACCAAGUUUGUGCAUUACUAGCUCUUCUUGUGGAUAAAGUUUAGUUAUCGGGAGUAAUUUUGUUCUUGCAGGAGGUUCUGAGGAGAACAUCAGAACCCUGUUUAACAAGGCAUACAGGACUGCUCCCUCAAUUGUAUUUAUAGACGAGAUAGAUGCGAUUGCGUCGAAGCGGGAUGAUAUGCAGCGAGGAAUGGAACGACGGGUGGUUACACAGUUGAUGACAUGCAUGGAUGAAUUCCACCAGAACAUUCCAUCUGAUGCCGAUGACAUGGAGGAUGAUUCACAAUCAUACGAGAAGAAGCCUGGCUAUGUUAUUGUUAUUGGAGCUACAAACAGACCUGAUGCUGUCGACCAAGCGCUUCGAAGACCAGGAAGGUUUGAUCGGGAAAUAUAUCUUGGUGUUCCCGAUGAGAAUGCCCGGAAACAGAUACUGGAGAGGCUCACCCGGAAACUUCGAUUGCCCCCGAAAGGCCAGUUUGAUUUGUUGAAGAUAGCAAAGGCCACGCCAGGAUUCGUUGGUGCAGACUUGAAGGCGUUGGUUUAUACAGCAGGGAGUGUAGCUAUAAAAGGAUUUUUUAAUGCUAGAAAAGACAAGUUUCUCAAGGAAGGAAACAACCUGGACUACUUGAAGCAUCCUUUGGAUAAACACGAGGUGCAGCGCCUAAGUAUUAUUAUGGAUGACUUUGGGGUAAUUAAGCUUUCCAUCUUUUACAUGUACACCCCUAGCUAGAAUUCUUACAUUUAUCUCAUCUAGUUUAAGAUUUGUACUAUUCAAUAAUGAUCUUUCUCUCUCUCUCUUAUUUGACUGUGUGUUGUUGAAGUAUAUGAUGUGUGUUGAUUUCAUGGUUUCCAAGUUGACGUGGAUGGUCAUUUAUGUUAUUUUCUUGUCAAAAGUAUGUUGUUCAUAUUACAUUGCUUUUCUUCUUGUGCUGUGUGCUUUUUCAUCCUGUUUUCUUCUGUUAUUAGCUUUCCGUAGUGGGACCCAUUUCUAACAUACCUUGUUACUUCAAUCGCUAAAGGAAGCCAUUAAAGAUAUAGUUCAACCAUCAUUGAGAAGAGAAGGAUUUUCUUCUGUGCCUGAUGUCACAUGGGCUUGUGUCGGAGGUCUUGAUUCAUUAAAGAAGGAAUUGAACCGCUCCAUCGUUCGAUGUAUCAAGUACCCUGAAUAUUAUAAGGUGCAUCAUCUUAACUUUCUUCAUUCUGUUAUAUGGUUUCAAUAGUGAUUUGGUCCCAUAAAAGUUCAGUCCUCUUCACAGUAUGGACAGCUAAUCGAAUCAUAAGACAUCCAUGGCGCUUAUUUGAAAUAUUUGUUUUCAAGCAAUUUCUUUAACAUUCUCUUUAUCCUUUAUUUGUGUUUUCAUGUCCUCUCAAGAAAUUUGGAGUAAACAUGCAAGCUGGUGUGUUGCUGUUUGGACCUCCGGGCUGUGGGAAAACACUAAUAGCAAAAGCAGUUGCACACGACGCAGGGGCUAAUUUUAUUCAUAUUAAGGUAGAUUGAUGCUUAGAUUUCCAUAUUCUCAGUCAGUAUACUCCUUCCAUUUUCGUGGAAAUUGCUUAUUUACCGCUGAUUAUUGCUCAUUCAAAAGAGUGUUGCUUGUUUAACUGUCAAAAACGGAAUUGAUUGCUCACAUGCUAUCGACUGCUAAGUGGCUGCUAAACUCCGUCGGUUAAAUGGUUUUAAAUUUAUCUUUUCCUUUCUUUCUAAACGAGCAUAAAAAUAUUACUCUGUACCUUAUCUGUCACUAGAGAGAAUGAACAAAGUGACGGUGCAGUUACCAUUUUUUGCCUUUGCGACAUCAGCAUUGGCUUCUAAUGAUUCUGGAUGAACCUCUUUGCCAUUCUGGCAUCUAUAUCCACAGCCCUUGCGAACUGGAUAUUGUUGUCGCCCAUUUCCUUCUCUUGCCCUUGCUAUUCUCAAAAUACUUCUUUGGACAUUGUUGCUGCCCUUUCUUUGCUUGCCCUUGCUACUCUCGACACCACUCUUGUGCAACCAUAGAAUCGCAUCAUCCGGUAAUAGUGUUGAAGUGUAUAUGUGGAUUGCCUAGCCCUUUCCAUCAGUUCGGAAUCUUGGUUCGUUCCAUUGGCCAGUGCAUGAAGCUUGACAAAUAGUACCUCUUGCAGCCAUGGAAUCCCAUCCAUGGAAGCCGCUGGCAGCCGGAUUUUUUUUUUUUUUUACAAAUCAAUUGAUCUGGUUAUUGUGCUGGUGCUGUUGUGAGUGAACCUUCUGUUCAACUGAGUCGAGGGUAGUUUUGGCAUUACCGGGAGAAACUAACAGCUCUAUACGAUUUAACUGAAAUCUUUUAAUAGGAUAAUGGCGAUGGUAUGUUGGCAACGAAUUGAGUUUUACAAUGCUAACUACGCAACAUUCAUUUUUUAAUAGCAAGUGAGCUAUUGAGGAGUUAUUCAGUGGUAAAUAAGCAAUUUCCUCUUCAGUUCUGUACAGACUGCUCAGAUAUUUCUUUCUCUGGAACUUUAGGGUCCUGAAGGAUUGAACAAGUAUGUUGGGGAGAGUGAAGCAUAUAUAAGGAGGACAUUCGCCCGUGCACGACUCAACUCCCCGUGCAUUUUAUUUUUUGACGAGGUAAAAUUUCUGUUUAGCUAUUUUUGUAUUCCCUCCGUUCAGAAAUAAAUUUGAACUAAAACAGCGUCUCUUGUUUCCAAAUGGAGGUAGUAUACUUUAAUCUGUUGAUGGGAACUUGGCUCAGUCUCUUAACAAAUUUGCAUGUUUGGUACAUUUGUGCUACUGGAAGUGACCAGCAACUUGUGGGUCUUGGUUGUGAAGGUGCUUUUCUCAUCAUAUGUUUCUCAAGUGUUUAUUGACUGAUGUGCCAGAUAGAUGCUUUGACAACAAAAAGAGGUAUGGAGGGAGCAUGGGUUGUUGAACGUCUCCUAAACCAGGUUUGGACAUCUUAUGUAUCACCUGUAUGUUUGGCAAAAUACCGAGAUUCUUUAUUAAUUUGUUUGUUCCUUUGCUCAGCGUUAUUCUACUUGUUCUGAUCGCAGUUACUUAUUGAACUUGAUGGUGCUGAUCAGCGUGAAGGUGUUUAUGUUAUUGGAGCUACAAAUAGGUAUUGUCAGCCACCGGGUUGUUCCUUUUUACUUAUUUGUCCUUGAAAGGAAGGCGUCAACAUGCAGUUUCAUGUAUGGUGCAGAAUUGAUGUGAUAGAUGAUGCUCUUCUACGGCCUGGUAGAUUGGGGCAGAAGUAUUUUGUACCUUUGCCCAGUGCUAAUGAGCGGCAUUCGAUAUUAAAAGCUCUAAUAUGUUCUCAGAGAAAACCUGUAUCCUGCACUGUUGUUUUGGAUGCAUUUGCACGUCGUGAGGAGUGCAACAAUCUCUCUGGCGCUGACCUAGCAUUGCUGGUAAUUUCUGUGCCUUUUCAUUGAGUUGUCCCGUUAGAAAAUUUUCAAAGUGGGCAUUCUUUAAUUCUUUGUGAUGAAGCAUGUACUUUAAGAGAACAUCAAGGCAACUCACACACAUGCUUCCUUCUUAGGUGGACGAAGCAGCCAAGGAAGCUUUGGAUGAGAGUUUGGAACUCCUGGAGAAUGGGGCAUUAUCAAUAAGUUCACUGUGUUCAGUUGCUUCGAUUGAAUUAUCGCACUUUGAGCAAGCUCUGUCUAAAAUAAAGCCGUCGGUGUCAGAACAGGUACAUGACAUUCUGAUAACCAUUUAUUUUGCUUCACCCUCUUAUAGGAGCAUGUCUUAACUUUUCUUGCUGUUGGUCAUCACAGCAAAGGAAGCACUACGAGGCCUUGUCACAGAAAUACUCGGCAAUGUAACUGAUCCAUCACCAUGUAUCUGGGUGCCUCGGGAACCAUCUUGAUCUCUAAAUGAGGGUUCCAUGUAUUAUCUAUAUAAAUCAGUUAAGAGUAGUACUAGGAUGGAUGCCUUCAAAUUGCGUCAUUUUUCAUUUCCGAAUGCACCUUUGUGCAGCGGGUAUGCAAGGAUAUUACAAUUUUCAAUGGUCUUAAUGUUGAAUAUGAUCAUAAAAGGGAGGUCCUUGUGUUGCGUUCCUUUUUUUUACCUUCACAAAGUCCGUUCAUUCCACAAAAAUGAUAUUUUUUUUGCAUGAAACCAAAACCCUUCUUAAAAUAGUCAAAUCUUAAAAAACCCUGCUAUUUUUCAUUUCGAACGAACCUUUGUGCUACAUCUAUGCAUGGAUAUUUCAAUUUUCAACGGUUUUAUUGUGGGAUGUGAUCAUAUACCAACAUUAAGGCAUCGGAUCCCUUCAGAAUUCUGAAGUUAAGCUCCUUAUGUUGCAUUCCUCUUCUUUUUCUUACCUUCAUGAAGUCCGCUAAUUCCACAAAAACAAAAAUGUUCCAUCAAAUCGACACCCUUAUAUCAAAAUAAUCAAAUAUUGUGCAAGAAAUCCUCCAAUAGCUGGUCUUAAAUACUCCCUCUGUUCACUUUUAUAAGAAGUUUUAGAUGGUUCAGACAGCUCCCAAAACAGUUCAAAAUAAGAUCUAACCUAUGACAUACUGGUCUUAAAUAAGAGGUAUUGCUCACGAAGAUCUAACCUACGACAUACUGGUCUUAAAUAAGAGCUAUUGCUCACAAAGAUGUAACCUACGACAUACUCGCUCCGUUCCAUAAUAUAAGGUGUAUUGAUUUCCGUGCAAGUCAACCGUUUGAAUGUUUGACCAAGAUUAUACAAUAAAAUAACAUCUGCAAUACCUAAUCGAUAAAAUAUGAAGCUACUUUUUAAGAUGGAUCGAAUGAUAUAAAUUUUGUAUUGUGGAUAUUGAUAUAUUUUGCUAAAAACUUGGUCAAACAUGCACUCGUUUGACUUAAAAAAAAAUAAA